AGAGUUUGAUUCUGGCUCAGAUUGAACGCUGGCGGCGUGCUUAACACAUGCAAGUCGAACGAGAAAGUUCCUUCGGGAAUGAGUAGAGUGGCGCACGGGUGAGUAACGCGUGGAUAAUCUACCGGGGAGUGAGGAAUAACAGUUGGAAACGACUGCUAAUACCUCAUACGCUGCAUAUAUGACUUAUGCAGGAAAGGAGGCCUCUGCAUAUGCUUCCGCUUUUCGAUGAGUCCGCGUCCCAUUAGCUGGUUGGGGGGGUAACGGCCCACCAAGGCGACGAUGGGUAGCUGGUCUGAGAGGAUGAUCAGCCACACUGGGACUGGAACACGGCCCAGACUCCUACGGGAGGCAGCAGUGGGGAAUAUUGCGCAAUGGGCGAAAGCCUGACGCAGCGACGCCGCGUGAGGGAUGAAGGUUCUCGGAUCGUAAACCUCUGUCAGAAGGGAAGAAAUUAUAUCAUGCUAAUCAGUGGUGUAUUGACGGUACCUUCAAAGGAAGCACCGGCUAACUCCGUGCCAGCAGCCGCGGUAAUACGGAGGGUGCGAGCGUUAAUCGGAAUUACUGGGCGUAAAGCGCACGUAGGCUGUAUGACAAGUCAAGGGUGAAAUGCCACGGCUCAACCGUGGAACUGCCUUUGAAACUGUCAAACUGGAGUAUGUGAGAGGGCGGCGGAAUUCCUGGUGUAGGAGUGAAAUCCGUAGAUAUCAGGAGGAACAUCAGUGGCGAAGGCGGCCGCCUGGCACAAAACUGACGCUGAGGUGCGAAAGCGUGGGUAGCAAACAGGAUUAGAUACCCUGGUAGUCCACGCUGUAAACGAUGAUUACUAGGU
rnacentral:rRNA from 1 species